UACGUAGGGACCAAGCGUUGUUCGGAUUUACUGGGCGUAAAGGGCGCGUAGGCGGCUUGACAAGUCACUUGUGAAAUCUCCGGGCUUAACUCGGAACGGCCAAGUGAAACUGUCAUGCUAGAGUGCAGAAGGGGCAAUCGGAAUUCUUGGUGUAGCGGUGAAAUGCGUAGAUAUCAAGAGGAACACCUGAGGUGAAGACGGGUUGCUGGGCUGACACUGACGCUGGAGGCGCGAAAGCCAGGGGGAGCAAAACGGGG
rnacentral:rRNA from 1 species